GCCAGCAUGGUGUAGUGGUUGAGUGUUGGACUGCAACUCUGGAGACCAGGGUUCGAUUUCCCGCUUGGCC